GUCCACGCCCUAAACGAUGGAUACUCGACAUCAGCGAUACACUGUUGGUGUCUGAGCGAAAGCAUUAAGUAUCCCACCUGGGAAGUACGAUCGCAAGAUUGAAACUCAAAGGAUUGACGGGGUCCGCACAAGCGGUGGAGCAUGUGGUUUAAUUCGAUGAUACGCGAGGAACCUUACCUGGGCUAGAAUGUAGGGGGAAUAUGGGUGAAAGCUCAUAGUAUAGCAAUAUACCGCAGAUAAGGUGCUGCAUGGCUGUCGU
rnacentral:rRNA from 1 species